AGAGUUUGAUCCUGGCUCAGGACGAACGCUGGCGGUGUGCUUCACACAUGCAAGUCGAACGGAGUAGCAAUACUCAGUGGCGGACGGGUGAGUAACACGUGGGAAUCUACCAUUAGGUGGGGAAUAACAGGCCGAAAGGACUGCUAAUGCCGCAUAUGUAGGCAUCUCGACAGAGAUGUUUAUGAAAGGAGUAAUCCGCCUUUUGAUGAGCCCGCGUCCGAUUAGCUAGUUGGUAGGGUAAAAGCCUACCAAGGCGACGAUCGGUAGGUGGUCUGAGAGGAUGAUCACCCACAAUGGGACUGAGACACGGCCCAUACUCCUACGGGAGGCAGCAGUGGGGAAUUUUACGCAAUGGGGGAAACCCUGACGUAGCGACACCGCGUGAGCGAAGAAGCCCUUUGGGGUGUAAAGCUCUGUCAACAGGAACGAAACAAAUGACGGUACCUGUGGAGGAAGCAUCGGCUAACUACGUGCCAGCAGCCGCGGUAAGACGUAGGAUGCAAGCGUUGUCCGGAUUUAUUGGGCGUAAAGAGUUCGUAGGCGGUUUGUUAAGUCUGAUGUUAAAGACCGGGGCUCAACCCCGGAAAUGCAUUGGAUACUGGCAGACUGGAGUGCAGUAGAGGCUAGUGGAAUUCCCAGUGUAGCGGUGAAAUGCGUAGA
rnacentral:rRNA from 1 species